rnacentral:rRNA from 1 species
UACAUGGGGUGCAAACGUUGCUCGGAAUUAUUGGGCGUAAAGCGCACGUAGGCGGUUCGUUAAGUCGGAUGUGAAAGCCCUCGGCUCAACUGAGGAAGUGCACCCGAAACUGGCGAGCUUGAGUACGAAAGAGGAUCGCGGAAUUCACGGUGUAGCAGUGAAAUGCGUAGAUAUCGUGAGGAACACCAGAGGCGAAGGCGACU